rnacentral:rRNA from 1 species
UGAGGACAGUGCCUGGUGGGUAGUUUGACUGGGGCGGUCUCCUCCCAAAGAGUAACGGAGGAGCACGAAGGUGGGCUAAUCACGGUUGGACAUCGUGAGGUUAGUGCAAUGGCAUAAGCCCGCUUAACUGCGAGAAUGACGGUUCGAGCAGGUGCGAAAGCAGGUCAUAGUGAUCCGGUGGUUCUGUAUGGAAGGGCCAUCGCUCAACGGAUAAAAGGUACUCCGGGGAUAACAGGCUGAUACCGCCCAAGAGUUCAUAUCGACGGCGGUGUUUGGCACCUCGAUGUCGGCUCAUCACAUCCUGGGGCUGAAGUCGGUCCCAAGGGUAUGGCUGUUCGCCAUUUAAAGUGGUACGCGAGCUGGGUUUAGAACGUCGUGAGACAGUUCGGUCCCUAUCUGCCGUGGGCGUUGGAAGAUUGAAGGGGGCUGCUCCUAGUACGAGAGGACCGGAGUGGACGAACCUCUGGUGUUCGGGUUGUGUCGCCAGACGCAUUGCCCGGUAGCUAAGUUCGGAAUUGAUAAGCGCUGAAAGCAUCUAAGCGCGAAGCGAGCCCUGAGAUGAGUCUUCCCUGAUACUUUAAGUAUCCUAAAGGGUUGUUCGAGACUAGAACGUUGAUAGGCAGGGUGUGUAAGCGUUGUGAGGCGUUGAGCUAACCUGUACUAAUUGCCCGUGAGGCUUAACCAUACAACACCCAAGGGGUUUUGUA